AGACGAUGAUCCGGUGCUUGCGGGGAUUAGUGGCGAACGGGUGAGUAACACGUGAGUAACCUGCCCUUGACUCUGGGAUAAGCCUGGGAAACUGGGUCUAAUACCGGAUAUGACUCCUCAUCGCAUGGUGGGGGGUGGAAAGCUUUUGUGGUUUUGGAUGGACUCGCGGCCUAUCAGCUUGUUGGUGAGGUAAUGGCUCACCAAGGCGACGACGGGUAGCCGGCCUGAGAGGGUGACCGGCCACACUGGGACUGAGACACGGCCCAGACUCCUACGGGAGGCAGCAGUGGGGAAUAUUGCACAAUGGGCGCAAGCCUGAUGCAGCGACGCGUGAGGGAUGACGGCCUUCGGGUUGUAAACCUCUUUCAGGGAAGAAGCGAAAGUGACGGUACCUGCAGAAGAACGCCGGCUAACUACGUGCCAGCAGCCGCGGUAAUACGUAGGGCGCAAGCGUUAUCCGGAAUUAUUGGGCGUAAAGAGCUCGGCGGUUUGUCGCGUCUGCCGUGAAAGUCCGGGGCUCAACUCCGGAUCUGCGGUGGGUACGGGCAGGCUAGAGUGAUGUAGGGGAGACUGGAAUUCCUGGUGUGGUGAA
rnacentral:rRNA from 2 species